CAGUCGCCGCGGGAAUACGUAGGUGGCAAGCGUUGUCCGGAAUUAUUGGGCGUAAAGGGCUCGCAGGCGGUUUCUUAAGUCUGAUGUGAAAGCCCCCGGCUCAACCGGGGAGGGUCAUUGGAAACUGGGAAACUUGAGUGCAGAAGAGGAGAGUGGAAUUCCACGUGUAGCGGUGAAAUGCGUAGAGAUGUGGAGGAACACCAGUGGCGAAGGCGACUCUCUGGUCUGUAACUGACGCUGAGGAGCGAAAGCGUGGGGGGCGAACAGGAUUAGAUACCCGCGUAGUCCCUGUCUCUUAUAC
rnacentral:rRNA from 1 species